UACGUAGGGUGCGAGCGUAAUCGGAAUUACUGGGCGUAAAGCGCACGAGGCGGCUUUUUUAAGUCAGAGGUGAAAGCCCGGGGCUCAACUCCGGAAUUGCCUUUGAGACUGGAAGGCUUGAUCGUCGGAGAGGUGAGUGGAAUUCCGAGUGUAGAGGUGAAAAUUCGUAGAUAUUCGGAAGAACACCAGUGGCGAAGGCGGCUCACUGGACGACUGAUGACGCUGAGGUGCGAAAGCGUGGGGAGCAAACAGG
rnacentral:rRNA from 1 species